CGCACCUUGCACCCUUUGGUAUUCCGAAGGGUAUGCCUGUUUGAGUGUCAUUAAAAUAUCAACCUUGAGACGUUCUUUUGAGCGUCGCAAGGCUUGGACUUGGGGGUUUCUGCGGGCUGCAUCUGCGGUCGGCUCCCCUUAAAGACAUUAGCCGAGGUCCUCUCUCUGCCUAUUGGUGUGAUAACUAUCAUCGCCGAUUAAGCAAGUGAGACUUUGCUUCCAAUCGUCUUCGGACAGCUCCUCUCGGGGCUCUUUAAUGACUAUUGUGACCUCAAAUCAGGUAGGACUACCCGCUGAACUUAA
rnacentral:misc_RNA from 1 species